GAGCAACGCCGGGUGUGGGAUGAAGGCUUUCGGGUCGUAAACCACUGUUGUAUGGGAAGAACAGCUAGAAUAGGAAAGGAUUUUAGUUGGACGGUACCAUACCAGAAAGGGAGGGCUAAAUACGUGCCAGCAGCCGCGGUAAUACGUAUGUCCCGAGCGUUAUCCGGAUUUAUUGGGCGUAAAGCGAGCGCAGACGGUUUAUUAAGUCUGAUGUGAAAGCCCGGAGCUCAACUCCGGAAUGGCAUGGAAACUGG
rnacentral:rRNA from 1 species